rnacentral:rRNA from 1 species
AUUGAACGCUGGCGGAAUGCUUUACACAUGCAAGUCGAACGGUAGAGGGGGCAACCCCUCGAGAGUGGCGAACGGGUGAGUAAUAUAUCGGAACGUGCCCAGUCGUGGGGGAUAACGUAGCGAAAGUUACGCUAAUACCGCAUACGAUCUAAGGAUGAAAGCGGGGGAUCGCAAGACCUCGCGCGAUUGGAGCGGCCGAUAUCAGAUUAGGUAGUUGGUGGGGUAAAGGCUCACCAAGCCAUCGAUCUGUAGCUGGUCUGAGAGGACGACCAGCCACACUGGAACUGAGACACGGUCCAGACUCCUACGGGAGGCAGCAGUGGGGAACUUUGGACAAUGGACGCAAGUCUGAUCCAGCCAUUCCGCGUGCAGGAUGAAGGCCCUCGGGUUGUAAACUGCUUUUGUACGGAACGAAAAGGUCUCUCUUAAUACGGGGGACUCAUGACGGUACCGUAAGAAUAAGCACCGGCUAACUACGUGCCAGCCGCCGCCGUAA